AAAGCACUAUUUAAGUGAAAAGAAACUUAUUGCAACAAAUUUCCAUCAAAAUAUAUCACAUUUAAAAUUUUUGCUACAUUGCUCAAAACUGAGGAAAAUUUUACAUUUUCUCAAACAGGGUAUGGAACUUGGUUCCUCGAAUAACUUCUGGCACAGACAUCGGAGGGCAUGGCCGUCCAAGAAGAAAAUGUAGCCAUUGGUGCCAUCUAUCGACCACAGGUUAAAGAUUGGAGAUCCGUUGAAUACCGACCGAGUUAUAGGCAAAACUUGGUGAGAAAAUGAGGAAAAUUUUACAUUUUCUCAAACAGGGUAUGGAACUUGGUUCCUCGAAUAACUUCUGGCACAGACAUCUAAGGGCAUGGCUGUCCAAGAAGAAAAUGUAGCCAUUGGUGCCAUCUAUCGACCACAGGUUAAAGAUUGGAGAUCCGUUGGAUACCGACCGAGUUAUAGGCAAAACUUGGUGCGAAAAUGAGGAAAAUUUUACAUUUUCUCAAACAGGGUGUGGAACUUGGUUCCUCGAAUAACUUCUGGCACAGACAUCUGAGAGCAUGGCCGUCCAAGAAGAAAAUGUAGCCAUUGGUGCCAUCUAUCGACCACAGGUUAAAGAUUGGAGAUCCGUUGGAUACCGACCGAGUUAUAGGCAAAACUUGGUGCAAAAAUGAGGAAAAUUUUCAUUUUUUUUUUAAUUUUUUGAUUUUUUUUAUUAUUUUCCACUCUUUUUUUUAUUUCAGACAUUAUUAGAGUGAAAAGAAACUCAUUGCAACCCAUUGGCAUUAAAAUAAAACAAUUUAAUUUUUUUUGCAAAAUUUCCCAAAAAAUCGUAAGGGGUAAGCCUUAUGAAAUUUUCGAGUGGAAAAUUUUUUUGAAAUUUUUUUCUGAUUUUUUAUUCUUUUUUUAAUUUAAAGCACUAUUUAAGUGAAAAGAAACUUAUUGCAACAAAUUUCCAUCAAAAUAUAUCACAUUUAAAAUUUUUGCUACAUUGCUCAAAACUGAGGAAAAUUUUACAUUUUCUCAAACAGGGUAUGGAACUUGGUUCCUCGAAUAACUUCUGGCACAGACAUCUGAGAGCAUGGCCGUCCAAGAAGAAAAUGUAGCCAUUGGUGCCAUCUAUCGACCACAGGUUAAAGAUUGGAGAUCCGUUGGAUACCGACCGAGUUAUAGGCAAAACUUGGUGCAAAAAUGAGGAAAAUUUUCAUUUUUUUUUUAAUUUUUUGAUUUUUUUUAUUAUUUUCCACUCUUUUUUUUAUUUCAGACAUUAUUAGAGUGAAAAGAAACUCAUUGCAACCCAUUGGCAUUAAAAUAAAACAAUUUAAUUUUUUUUGCAAAAUUUCCCAAAAAAUCGUAAGGGGUAAGCCUUAUGAAAUUUUCGAGUGGAAAAUUUUUUUGAAUUUUUUUUCUGAUUUUUUAUUCUUUUUUUAAUUUAAAGCACUAUUUAAGUGAAAAGAAACUUAUUGCAACAAAUUCCCAUCAAAAUAUAUCACAUUUAAAAUUUUUGCUACAUUGCUCAAAAAUGAGGAAAAUUUUACAUUUUCUCAAACAGGGUAUGGAACUUGGUUCCUCGAAUAACUUCUGGCACAGACAUCUGAGGGCAUGGCCGUCCAAGAAGAAAAUGUAGCCAUUGGUGCCAUCUAUCGACCACAGGUUAAAGUUUGGCGAUCCGUUGGAUACCGACCGAGUUAUAGGCAAAACUUGGUGCGAAAAUGAGGAAAAUUUUCUCAAACAGGGUAUGGAACUUGGUUCCUCGAAUAUCUUCUGGCACAGACAUCUGAGGGCAUGGCCGUCCAAGAAGAAAUUGUAGCCAUUGGUGCCAUCUAUCGACCACAGGUUAAAGAUUGGCGAUUCGUUGGAUACCGACCGAGUUGUAGGCAAAAUUUGGUGCAAAAAUGAGGAAAAUUUUCAUUUUUUUUAAUUUUUCUGAUUUUUUUUAUUAUUUUUCAUUCUUUUUUUUAUUUCAAGCAUUAUUAGAGUGAAAAGAAACUCAUUGCAACCCAUUGGCAUUAAAAUAAAACAAUUUAAUUUUUUUUGCAAAAUUUCCCAAAAAAAUCGUAAGGGGUAAGCCUUAUGAAAUUUUCGAGUGGAAAAUUUUUUUGAAUUUUUUUUCUGAUUUUUUAUUCUUUUUUUAAUUUAAAGCACUAUUUAAGUGAAAAGAAACUUAUUGCAACAAAUUCCCAUCAAAAUAUAUCACAUUUAAAAUUUUUGCUACAUUGCUCAAAACUGAGGAAAAUUUUACAUUUUUUCAAACAGGGUAUGGAACUUGGUUCCUCGAAUAACUUCUGGCACAGACAUCUAAGGGCAUGGCCGUUCAAGAAGAAAAUGUAGCCAUUGGUGCCAUCUAUCGACCACAGGUUAAAGAUUGGCGAUCCGUUGGAUACCGACCGAGUUAUAGGCAAAACUUGGUGCAAAAAUGAGGAAAAUUUUACAUUUUCUCAAACAGGGUAAGGAACUUGGUUCCUCGAAUAACUUCUGGCACAGACAUCUGAGGGCAUGACCGUCCAAGAAGAAAAUGUAGCCAUUAGUGCCAUCUAUCGACCACAGGUUAAAGAUUGGCGAUCCGUUGGAUACCGACCGAGUUAUAGGCAAAAUUUGGUGCAAAAAUGAGGAAAAUUUUCAUUUUUUUUUUAAUUUUUUGAUUUUUUUAUUAUUUUUCACUCUUUUUUUAUUUCAAGCAUUAUUUGAGUGAAAAGAAACUCAUUGCAACCCAUUGGCAUUAAAGUAAAACAAUUAAUUUUUUUUUGCAAAAUUUCCCAAAAAAAUCGUAAGGGGUUAGCCUUAUGAAAUUUUCGAGUUGAAAAUUUUUUAAAGUUUUUUUUCUGAUUUUUUAUUCUUUUUUUACUUUAAAGCACUAUUUAAGUGAAAAGAAACUUAUUGCAACAAAUUCCCAUCAAAAUAUAUCACAUUUAAAAUUUUUGCUACAUUGCUCAAAAAUGAAAAAAAAUUUACAUUUUCUCAAACAGGGUAAGGAACUUGGUUCCUCGAAUAACUUCUGGCACAGACAUCUGAGGGCAUGGCUGUCCAACAAGAAAAUAUAGCCAUUGGUGCCAUCUAUCGACCACAAGUUAAAGUUUGGCGAUCCGUUGGAUACCGACCGAGUUAUAGGCAAAACUUGGUGCAAAAAUGAGGAAAAUUUUACAUUUUCUCAAACAGGGUAAGGAACUUGGUUCCUCGAAUAACUUCUGGCACAGACAUCUGAGGGCAUGACCGUCCAAGAAGAAAAUGUAGCCAUUGGUGCCAUCUAUCGACCACAGGUUAAAGAUUGGCGAUCCGUUGGAUACCGACCGAGUUAUAGGCAAAAUUUGGUGCAAAAAUGAGCAAAAUUUUUUUUUUUUUUAAUUUUUUGAUUUUUUAUUAUUUUUCACUUUUUUUUUAUUUCAAGCAUUAUUUGAGUGAAAAGAAACUCAUUGCAACCCAUUGGCAUUAAAAUAAAACAAAUUUAUUUUUUUUGCAAAAUUUCUCAAAAAAAUGGCAAGGGGUACCCCUUAUGAAAUUUUCGAGUUGAAAAUUUUUUAAAAUUUUUUUUCUGAAUUUUUAUUCUUUUUUUACUUUAAAGCACUAUUUAAGUGAAAAGAAACUUAUUGCAACAAAUUCCCAUCAAAAUAUAUCACAUUUAAAAUUUUUGCUACAUUGCUCAAAAAUGAAAAAAAUUUACAUUUUCUCAAACAGGAUAAGGAACUUGGUUCCUCGAAUAACUUCUGGCACAGACAUCCGAGGGCAUGGCUGUCCAAGAAGAAAAUAUAGCCAUUGGUGCCAUCUAUCGACCACAGGUUAAAGAUUGGCGAUCCGUUGGAUACCGACCGAGUUAUAGGCAAAAUUUGGUGCAAAAAUGAGGAAAAUUUUCAUUUUUUUUUUAAUUUUUUGAUUUUUUUAUUAUUUUUCACUCUUUUUUUAUUUCAAGCAUUAUUUGAGUGAAAAGAAACUCAUUGCAACCCAUUGGCAUUAAAGUAAAACAAUUAAUUUUUUUUUGCAAAAUUUCCCAAAAAAAAUCGUAAGGGGUUAGCCUUAUGAAA